AAGCGAUGACGUAGUCGUCUGUCUUUGAUAAGGGGAGAACUCUUGCAUGACUGGCGUUUCUUUCAUAGGUCUGUCAUGGAGUUGCUCUCUUUAUUGGCAGCACGAAAGAUUCUUCACGACAUA
rnacentral:pre_miRNA from 10 species